GUCGACGAACGGACAAACAAUGAAUGGACACAAAGAUCAGAAAACAUAAUGCACCUUCUACUAUUGUAGGUGGGGCAUAAAAAAUAAAACAGAUUAUGGAAAAAUUAUAAAGAUUUCAGUGAAAAGUUGCAUGUAACAAGCCAGAUAUAUUGAGCAAUUUCAAAGGUUUGUUUAACACAAUUCCAUGAAAUGAGGUACCGGUAU
rnacentral:lncRNA from 1 species